rnacentral:misc_RNA from 1 species
ACAGUCAAAACAAAACUAUUUGAGAGUAUUGCUAAUCCUUUCGUGCAAACCUCAAGUGAAAUGAAAAAUAAAUAAAUUAGUUAACUAAACUACAUGAUGACUAAUGUGCGAUUGACUGUGUUGUGGGCUACCACUUUUUAGUAUUGACUGUGUUGCUGAGUUAUGUUAGUAUUCACUGAUACAGAAUUAAUAUUCUACGCAUGAAGACAAUACUCAAGAAUAUAAUACUUCGUCCCAUGAUAAAUCUUGUCAGGAUUGUGUUCUUUGUGUCUGGUUCUUACAGCCUUUUUAAUCUUGUAUUAUCGCAGCUCUGCCAAAAAGGGAUUAAGGUAACCAUUGUUUGUCCUGGGCCAAUAGAAACAUCACAUGGCUAUGGAGCUACAACCUCGGCAAGGAAGGGUUCUGAGGUGAAACGUGUAAUUAUAUGAUUAAAAAACCUUUAAUUAUAUGAUUAAAAUUGGCUUUCACUUACAACUUAUAUUCUUGCACUCUGUUUUGGACAAACCAAAUGUUCUAUAAUUGCGAAGUGUUGUGCAAUUAUGAAGAACAAAGCAGAUUGGAAGCCAAUAUCUUUCUUUCUUUCAGAACGUAUUUCAUCCAGUUUCACAUCUUUAGUGAUGAUUGAUUACUUAGUUCUGCCUGUUUGUUUUUAACUGAAUGGUAUCGUGUUUGCAGAAUCAUGUGUCGUCAGAAAGGUGUGCAGAAUUGACAAUUAUUGCAGCCACCCAUGGUUUAAAGGAGGCUUGGAUAUCACAUCAGGUAUUUGCCAUUAGAAUAGCUUCUGCUAUAUUCCUUGUACUUGUUUUUAUAAUUAAUUCACGUACUUCAAUUACACAGAAGGCAUGCUAUGAUCAUUAAACAUGGUACAGUAUGUUAUUGUGUACAUUCACCUUGGUGAUUGAUUCAUAAUGAAUUGUAUUUCCUCCAUUAUGAAGUGUUCCUCCUUUCCACAGUGAAAAGGCAAUGUUCAAUUUGUAUCUACUUUCUAAAUCACCCUUACCGUAAUGUCAUCCCUGUUGCAUAUCAAUAUGUGGAGUCCAAAGUUGGUAUCAUAAUUAAAUUAAUGUGUUAAUUAUUCUCUCCUUAAAUUGCAGACUUCUUCAAAAGAAAACAAAAAUUUUUGGAUUGGCUUCAUAAUCUAGCUUUGCAAUACUGUUCUCAUAUAUUUUUGCCAUUACACUGGUUGAAAUCCAUGCAUAUGGAAACUUUUCUUUGCUUUUAUCAUAAAAUGUUGCAAGUUUUUAUAUUAUCUAGUUUAUUUUUGUAGCAUAUUCUAGUUUGUGCAAAUCUUAAUAUUUUGAUAUUUCUUUCAGCCAGUACUUACUGUUAUGUAUCUAGUGCAAUACAUGCCAACCAUUGGCUACUGGCUCAUGGAUAAGGUAUCCUCUAACGAAUCCAUGAAACAUUUUCUGUAUGCUUGUGGCCCAUUUUUCUGCAAUUUUCAAUUGCGGCAUCUCACUUUGAUCCAUUUUUGUGAUAUUAAGUGCUUAUCAUUUUUAAUUAGUUGCAUGUCUAAUUGAGUCAAAUUUAUGAUUGACCGAGUCAGAUUGGAGGAAAGCGAGUUGAAGUAGCUGCACAGAAAGGCAACACAUACUCAUGGAGCUUAUUGCUUGGAAACAAAAAGGCCUGAAUUUCUCAUCAAGUUAUAAUCGAAUUGGAUGAAAACCUAAAUCGAGAGGAAUCUUUUAUAGUUCUGAUUUUGGUUCCUUCAAACUUUGAACCCAAAUGGAUUAAUUUUAGUCCGAUUCAAUCAAUCAGCUAA